GCCGGGCAUGGUGGCUCAUGCCUGUAAUCCCAGCACUUUGGGAGGCCGAGGCGGGCGGAUCACCUGAGGUCGGGAGUUCGACACCAGCCUGACCAACAUGGAGAAACCCUGUCUCUA
ensembl:misc_RNA Metazoa_SRP Metazoan signal recognition particle RNA